UCCGUAGGUGAACCUGCGGAAGGAUCAUUACCGAGUGCGGGCUGCCUCCGGGCGCCCAACCUCCCACCCGUGACUACCUAACACUGUUGCUUCGGCGGGGAGCCCUCUCGGGGGCGAGCCGCCGGGGACUACUGAACUUCAUGCCUGAGAGUGAUGCAGUCUGAGUCUGAAUAUAAAAUCAGUCAAAACUUUCAACAAUGGAUCUCUUGGUUCCGGCAUCGAUGAAGAACGCAGCGAACUGCGAUAAGUAAUGUGAAUUGCAGAAUUCAGUGAAUCAUCGAGUCUUUGAACGCACAUUGCGCCCCCUGGCAUUCCGGGGGGCAUGCCUGUCCGAGCGUCAUUGCUGCCCAUCAAGCCCGGCUUGUGUGCUGGGUCGUCGUCCCCCCCGGGGGACGGGCCCGAAAGGCAGCGGCGGCACCGUGUCCGGUCCUCGAGCGUAUGGGGCUUUGUCACCCGCUCGAUUAGGGCCGGCCGGGCGCCAGCCGACGUCUCCAACCAUCUUCUUCAGGUGACGUCGCAUCAGGGUAGGGAUACCCGCUGAACUUAAGCAUAUC
rnacentral:rRNA from 1 species